GUUUUUAUAGUUAAUAAAAGAAAAUAUAACACUAAUUUUUCAAGUUAGAGUAACAUAUAUGUUAAAAAUA
rnacentral:tRNA from 2 species